rfam:Salmo salar isolate Sally breed double haploid chromosome ssa09, whole genome shotgun sequence.
CCCCCUGUGGCUCAGUUGGUAGAGCAUGGUGUUUGCAACGCCAGCAUGGCGUGCGCAGCGCCAGGGUUGUGGGUUCGAUUCCCACGGGGGGC